rnacentral:rRNA from 1 species
GGGUGCGAUCAUACUAGCGUUAAUGCAUCAGAUCCCAUUAGAACUCCGCAGUUAAGCGCACUUGGGCUAGAGUAGUAUUGUGAUGGGUGAACUCCUGGGAAGUCCUAGUGUUGCGCCCU